UCCUGACCCCGGCCCAUCCUGACCCAUCCUGACCCAUCCUGACCCCGGCCCGGCCCCGGCUUGUCCCGGCUCCCGCCCAUCCAGCCCCUCAAGUGUCCCGGCCCCGGUGUGCCCCGGCACCGGGGCUCGCACGGGCUCUGCCAGCAGAAUUGCUUCACGGAGGAUGUGAUGGAUGUCCUGUCCUGUCCUGCCCUGCCCUGCCCUGCCCUGCCCUGGAUCUUCCCGUAACAUUUUCGUUCGAGCUCGUUAAAUCCUCCAUGUGCCAAGCCGCACAUCACGGGGUUACUGCUGUCUGACAAAUUGGCAUUGUGUGGGUUCUUCCUGCCAGCCUCGCUUGCCUUUAGGCCUUGCGAUGAUUUAUUGCCACCUAAUCCAUUGCUGCACACCCCCAGAGAACUGGGAGAACAAACCUCUGGGCAGCUUCACCUCCGACCUGCUCAUCUCUACAGACUUGUCUGAGAACCUGGACUCCUGUUUGACCCUGUUUUGCCACCACUGGCCCUGCUCUACGUGUUUGUUUGGGCACUGUGGGAGCGUGCCCUUGGUGAGGUCGCUGGCCUGCCUGCUGCCUUGUCACGGCCCUGGCUGCACCUGCUCUCGCUGCUCCUGGCAAUGCAAACCUGCUCAGGUGGGGGGCUUCCUUCUGAUGAAUGUCUUACUUGCUUUCAAAAUGGUGAUGUCAAAAUUGGGUUCUGCAAUUUUUUUUUUGGUGCAUGUAUAGUCAACACUAAAUGCAGAUCUUAAAAAUGCAGAUCUUCUAUAGAUGUCAUAAAGAAGCCCUGCCAAAAUUACUAAGAUUAGCCUGGGGACGUGAUCCGUGUUAUUGCUUUCUUUCCCAUAGUCUAUGUAUCUCUACUCUCUAUUUAGGAUUUACUUGCUUUUACACCGCUAAAAGCGUUGGUUUUGCCUCCUCAGGAUGUUUAUGGAUCCAGAUGCUAAUUUAAAUUUAUAUCAAGUCCAGAUGUCCUUCUCUUGCAGACUGGUUUGAUUACUAAUCCUUUAUAGCCUAAGAUCUAUAACCUACAUUUUCUUAUUAAUCAGCACAAUUUAUUGUAUAAUUUUUGUCAAUAGUAUUAUUAUUUUUAUACAGGUUUAUGGCACUAUUUGGUUUUCCUGCUAGAGACUGUGUUACAAGGGAAGACUUAUAAAAAAUUACAAUUGUUUCUUCACAAGAAAGGAUCUGCCUAUGCUGCUGUUGCAAUCGUCUACAAUUGUUUUACAUUAAUUUCUCGUAAGGAUUGCAUUGAUAUCAUUAAACUUGUUGGUGAAUGUUA